AUCCGGCUGACGAGUACCAAAUAGAACGAAACGCGUGUCCUGGAU
rnacentral:hammerhead_ribozyme from 1 species